rnacentral:rRNA from 1 species
CUACGGAGGGUGCAAGCGUUACUCGGAAUCACUGGGCGUAAAGCGCGCGCAGGCGGCUAUUUAAGUUGGAUGUGAAAGCCUACGGCUCAACCGUAGAACUGCAUCCAAAACUAUUUAGCUAGAGUGUGGGAGAGGAAGAUGGAAUUAGUUGUGUAGGGUUAAAAUCCGUAGAGAUAACUAGGAAUACCAAAAGCGAAGGCAAUCUUCUGGAACACUACUGACGCUGAGGCGCGAAAGCGUGGGGAGCAAACAGGAUUAGAAACCCUAGUAGUCC